UAGGGUUCAGGAGUAUACAAGAACUCCUCUGAAAUGUCUAUCUCAGAGGCCUUUUCCAAGCUGAUUCUGUGACUUCAUCACAGAACACAUGGCUCUUUUAGCGUGCAGGAAGUGUCAAGGUCCACAGGCACAUGCUGGGAUGAGGGAAUAUAGACAAGAAGACUUGAACUGAGGGACUUUCCCUCAGUCCUGGAGAGCAGUGCACAGCUUUUACAAGGACUGUUGACAAGCUCUCCCACUCUUCCUGUCCUGGAAGUUGUCUUCCUUGAGCCAGCAAACUGAGGAGACUCUAAACUCCAUAGCCACAGGCUGUGCCAUGGGAGGAGUGGAAUCCCUGCAGGCCACAUUACAAAUGCUGCCCACUCCCCACUGGCUAGAGACACCCCUCUCUUAGCUGGAGCUGUUGACAGCGGCUUGACCCAACCAAAGGCCUCUUUGUGGCAUUUUGGUUUCCAUAUGCUGCAACAUCUACUUACGUGCCAGGUGGGUGAGAAAGUACCCAGAAUAAGCCAUGGAAAAAGCCGUGCAAACUGCAGCACACACUCCCUCCAUGGCUCGAGCAGCACUGCUCAAGUCUGCACCAGACAACGCCUGUGGGAAAAUCAAAAAUACUCUGAGUCCUGCUGGCAGAGACCUCGUCAAUCAGCAGGUUCACCUGCAGUGAGCGUGCCACAGAGCUGCUCUGCACACUGAGCCCUUCCAGGCCUUGGCACAGCAACUUUGCCUUGACAAAGCUGGGAUGCGGCCGCUGACAUCACAAUAGCAGCCGCCCUAGGCUGGAUUGUGAAUUCAUGCAUAGAACCAGACCUGCUCUACACCUAAUGCCAAAAAAGCCUGCAAAGUUCUCCUCUGCUACAAAGCAACACAAAAAGCCCUCCUAGUCCAUCACCUGUUGCUCAAGGCAUGUAAGAGCAGAAACACACUGAGCCCCUAGAGCCCACACUGAGAAGCUGAGCACUGAGAAGGGACCAGGAUGUGAGGAACCACAUUAGUAGUCUUUGGCCACUAUUUCUGCUGAGCAAAAAUCAGAAGGCUUGUUCCUUUGUGGUAGAAAUCAGAAAACAAGGAGAAGAAGCACUGCUUUAAUUACAUUUAGAGGUUUCUCCUAGGAGAGAGAGGAGAGGCUUUACAAGGACUACCUCAAGAAGAGGACAUAGAAUGGAGGGAAGGCCUUCGAAAGAAUAAACAACCCUCAUGCUGCCGCUUUUGCAAGGAAUAAAUGUCCAAGUUUCUUAAUAUCCAGCCACAAAUCUGUGGAGUCUUGACAGCCAAGAAGCACAGGAACCUGGACACCUUGUUGUGAGAGACUAGAGGAGAUUGCUGGCUCAACACUUUUCAGGGGCUUGUAUGUGGGGAA